AUUAAGAACCGGGCCAAGGACUUAACAGAUGGAAAGUAGCUGUUGAAGAGGAUAAAAGAGGAAGACAGGAAGGGAAAUGGUUGCAAGAGUUCAAAAGAAACCAUCACUUAAUUCCACCUAACUGAAAGAGGCAGGAAAAUGUGGGGCAGCGUAUUGAUACUUGUGGACAACUCCGUGGGACCACUGCAGAUUCAAGGGUCUCUGUGGGGACAGCAGAGGCAUCCACUGAGACAAUAUCAGCCCACCUUCUCCCUGUGCCCGUCCGGCACCCUCCAGUCCGUGAAGAUGUUGACUAUCUGGAUGUCAACCUCCAUCUCAAAGUCUGCUUUCCAGAGAACACAAUGCAUGAUACUGGCUUAACCUCAUUUUUCAGGCCUCAGCUUAAAUGUUACUUCCUACGGCAGUGCUUUCCUAUACAUUUCUUCUCACAUAGACUUCAACCCC